rnacentral:rRNA from 1 species
AGCGAACGCUGGCGGCAGGCUUAACACAUGCAAGUCGAGCGGGCACCUUCGGGUGUCAGCGGCAGACGGGUGAGUAACACGUGGGAACGUGCCCUUCGGUUCGGAAUAACUCAGGGAAACUUGAGCUAAUACCGGAUACGCCCUUAUGGGGAAAGGUUUACUGCCGAAGGAUCGGCCCGCGUCUGAUUAGCUUGUUGGUGGGGUAACGGCCUACCAAGGCGACGAUCAGUAGCUGGUCUGAGAGGAUGAUCAGCCACACUGGGACUGAGACACGGCCCAGACUCCUACGGGAGGCAGCAGUGGGGAAUAUUGGACAAUGGGCGCAAGCCUGAUCCAGCCAUGCCGCGUGAGUGAUGAAGGCCUUAGGGUUGUAAAGCUCUUUCACCGAUGAAGAUAAUGACGGUAGUCGGAGAAGAAGCCCCGGCUAACUUCGUGCCAGCCGCCGCAGUAAAAC